GACGAACGCUGGCGGCGGGCUUAACACAUGCAAGUCGAACGGAAAGGCCCUGCUUUUGUGGGGUGCUCGAGUGGCGAACGGGUGAGUAACACGUGAGUAACCUGCCCUUGACUUUGGGAUAACUUCAGGAAACUGGGGCUAAUACCGGAUAGGAGCUCCUGCUGCAUGGAGGGGGUUGGAAAGUUUCGGCGGUUGGGGAUGGACUCGCGGCUUAUCAGCUUGUUGGUGGGGUAGUGGCUUACCAAGGCUUUGACGGGUAGCCGGCCUGAGAGGGUGACCGGCCACAUUGGGCCUGCGAUACGGCCCAGAGUGCUACGGGAGGCAACAGUGGGGAAUAUUGCACAAUGGGCGGAAGCCUGAUGCAGCAACGCCGCGUGCGGGAUGACGGCCUUCGGGUUGUAAACCGCUUUCGCCUGUGACGAAGCGUGAGUGACGGUAAUGGGUAAAGAAGCACCGGCUAACUACGUG
rnacentral:rRNA from 1 species